rnacentral:rRNA from 1 species
CGAAAGCCUGACGGAGCAAUACCGCGUGAGGGAGGAAGGCUUUUGGGUUGUAAACCUCUUUUCUCAGGGAAGAAGAUCUGACGGUACCUGAGGAAUCAGCAUCGGCUAACUCCGUGCCAGCAGCCGCGGUAAUACGGAGGAUGCAAGCGUUAUCCGGAAUCAUUGGGCGUAAAGCGUCCGCAGGUGGCUUGACAAGUCUGCUGUUAAAGACAGUAGCUCAACUACUGAAAGGCGGUGGAAACUGUCAAGCUAGAGUACGGUAGGGGUAGAGGGAAUUCCCAGUGUAGCGGUGAAAUGCGUAGAUAUUGGGAAGAACACCGGUGGCGAAGGCGCUCUACUGGGCCGUAACUGACACUCAGGGACGAAAGCUAGGGUAGCG